GAUGAACGCUGGCGGCGUGCCUAAUACAUGCAAGUCGAGCGAACAGACGAGGAGCUUGCUCCUCUGACGUUAGCGGCGGACGGGUGAGUAACACGUGGAUAACCUACCUAUCAGACUGGGAUAACUUCGGGAAACCGGAGCUAAUACCGGAUAAUAUAUUGAACCGCAUGGUUCAAUAGUGAAAGACGGUUUUGCUGUCACUUAUAGAUGGAUCCGCGCCGCAUUAGCUAGUUGGUAAGGUAACGGCUUACCAAGGCAACGAUGCGUAGCCGACCUGAGAGAGUGAUCGGCCACACUGGAACUGAGACACGGUCCAGACUCCUACGGGAGGCAGCAGUAGGGAAUCUUCCGCAAUGGGCGAAAGCCUGACGGAGCAACGCCGCGUGAGUGAUGAAGGUCUUCGGAUCGUAAAACUCUGUUAUUAGGGAAGAACAAAUGUGUAAGUAACUAUGCACGUCUUGACGGUACCUAAUCAGAAAGCCACGGCUAACUACGUG
rnacentral:rRNA from 1 species